rnacentral:rRNA from 1 species
UACGAGAGGUGCAAGCGUUGUUCGGAAUGACUGGGCGUAAAGCGCACGUAGGCGGAUUCGCAAGUAGGAUGUGAAAGCCCCAGGCUCAACCUGGGAAUGGCACCCUAAACUACGGAUCUUGAAUGCUUAAGAGGUUGGUGGAGUUCCUGGUGUAGGAGUGAAAUCCGUAGAUAUCAGGAGGAAUAUCGGAGGCGAAGGCGGCCAACUGGUGAUGCAUUGACGCUGAGGUGCGAAAGCGUGGGGAGCAAACAGG